GAAUCUUGCGCAAUGGCCGAAAGCCUGAUGCAGCAACGCCGCGUGCGGGAAGAAGGCCCUAGGGUUGUAAACCGCUUUCAGUAGGGAAGAAAAUGACGGUACCUACAGAAGAAGGUGCGGCCAACUACGUGCCAGCAGCCGCGGUGACACGUAGGCACCAAGCGUUGUCCGGAUUUAUUGGGCGUAAAGAGCUCGUAGGCGGUUUGGUAAGUCGGGUGUGAAAACUCUGGGCUCAACCCAGAGAGGCCACUCGAUACUGCUAUGACUUGAGUACGGUAGGGGAGUGGGGAAUUUCUAGUGUAGCGGUGAAAUGCGCAGAUAUUAGAAGGAACACCAGUGGCGAAGGCGCCACUCUGGGCAGUAACUGACGCUGAGGAGCGAAAGCAUGGGUAGCAAACAGG
rnacentral:rRNA from 1 species